rnacentral:rRNA from 1 species
UACGGAGGGUGCAAGCGUUAUCCGGAUUCACUGGGUUUAAAGGGUGCGUAGGUGGGCUAGUAAGUCCGUGGUGAAAUCCCCGAGCUUAACUCGGGAACUGCCGUGGAUACUAUUAGUCUUGAAUAUCGUGGAGGUAAGCGGAAUGUGUCAUGUAGCGGUGAAAUGCUUAGAUAUGACAUAGAACACCGAUAGCGGAGGCAGCUUACUACGCGAUUAUUGACACUGAGGCACGAAAGCGUGGGGAUCAAACAGG